GAUGAACGCUGGCGGCGUGCCUAAUACAUGCAAGUCGAGCGAACAGACGAGGAGCUUGCUCCUCUGACGUUAGCAGCGGACGGGUGAGUAACACGUGGAUAACCUACCUAUAAGACUGGGAUAACUUCGGGAAACCGGAGCUAAUACCGGAUAAUAUAUUGAACCGCAUGGUUCAAUAGUGAAAGACGGUUUUGCUGUCACUUAUAGAUGGAUCCGCGCCGCAUUAGCUAGUUGGUAAGGUAACGGCUUACCAAGGCAACGAUGCGUAGCCGACCUGAGAGGGUGAUCGGCCACACUGGAACUGAGACACGGUCCAGACUCCUACGGGAGGCAGCAGUAGGGAAUCUUCCGCAAUGGGCGAAAGCCUGACGGAGCAACGCCGCGUGAGUGAUGAAGGUCUUCGGAUCGUAAAACUCUGUUAUUAGGGAAGAACAAAUGUGUAAGUAACUAUGCACGUCUGGACGGUACCUAAUCAGAAAGCCACGGCUAACUACGU
rnacentral:rRNA from 1 species